rnacentral:lncRNA from 1 species
GUCUGAUGCCCAGCUGACAUCUGGAGGACAGGAGUGCAGUGUGAAGAGGUGAAGGCAGGGAAACAAGUGGCCCGCCCGGGGCCUCGAGGCUGGGCUAGCAAAGCUGAGAAUAUCAGUCGCCCAUUCUCCCCUGGUCACCAGCCCUGAUUUGUCCUUGGAGCUUCAAAUAGUGUCUUUGAGAAGUGAUGCUGACAUCACCAUAGUUAGCGUUUGCUGAGAGCCAGACUCCGUGCUGGGGGACCAGGGUGGGGAGAGUGAUAAUUUGCAGACCAGUAUAUGAAAGAGCAUCUCACCUCAACACGGCAUUUACGGAAGGCCCAGGGAGUCAGAGCGGGUGGUGGGAGCCCAGGCCCCUGGGCAUCAGGCCAGGCUUCCCAAUGGGACGUUGAGACCUUGCAGGACUCGUGAAAACCUCGAAGCUGCCAUGACCUGCAAGAAUGCAACAAUGGUGGAAUUGCAGGCCUUUGCUGAACACAGUCUCGUUGAAUCCUCCCAGUGCUGCAAAGACAGGACUCAGUGCCAAUUCACAGAGGAGGAAAUGGAGGCUCAGAGAAUUAAUCAUCCACCUGAGCUCACACAACAGGGACUCAAAGCCUCACCAAGACUCCAAGCAUCGCUCUGGAGACUAUCAGACUCCAGGGGCCCAGCACAGAGCCAGGUCUGAACCAAGUCCUCUCGGCUGGAACCCCUGUUCUGCCCAGUUCAGGCAUCAGGUAGGUACCACGAGACUUGAAAUACCAGGAAGAGGAACGGGAAGCUGGCUGACAUCAGGUUUUCCGAGGGGCUUGUGGGUUUCUGUUAUCCCCCACUUUGAAAAGCCUGAUUGGGUUCAGGGUCAGAACCACCCUUUGCUCUAAGAGCAUUAAGCUGCUUCAGAGAAAAUGGCUUUGUUGGGUCUUUGGAAACCGUUCCUGAGAAAUGAUGGCGGCAGAUAAUGGACGUUCAGCAAACCUGUCUCUGACGCGCUGCUGGCUUUGGACGUGGUCCGAGAACUAGUGUGCUGUUGGUCUCCGGUUCCAGUCCCAGCUGGUCCUGGCUGCCCUGGGAAGAGUCAUCAUCCUGUGAGACUAACAACAACAACAGGGGAGCCUUCGCACGGCUCUGCAUGUGAUCGAGACCCACCACGUGCCAGGCCGCUGGGGCAUCUGUCCGCUGCCCCAUGAGGUAUUCCUCACCUGGAGACAGAGGCCGUCAGGUUGGGCCCUGCUCUCCCUCCAGCCACCACCCCAUGGCACCCCAGGAGCACUCUCCUGUGCUUGGGGAAGCCGCCAGCAGCCUCAGUUUCCCCAUCUGUGUGAGACGCUUGGCUCUUUGGACUCUGGAGACCCGCAGAGAGAAGCUCUCUCCCUGCUUGGCGGAGCCACGGACCUCAAAGGCUGGCCGCUGAAGGGCCCUGACAUCCUUGGGAACAAUGUCGCCUGUUUACCUGACAGAUUGUCUGCUUUCUUUUCAUCUCGGAGGAAAAGAGCUCCUGCUGGGAACCGCUAAUCCCAGGCUGGUGCCAAGGGCAGAGAAGUGCUUACUCAAUAAGCAGUUUGGUUGAUUUACUGUGACAUCUGGGCCAGCAACCAGAGAUGAAGAGAUAAAAGCCACUCCCUUGCCUUCCAGAGAGACGAGGAGAAUAAUAAUAGUAAUAAUAACAGUAU